rnacentral:miRNA from 4 species
UAGCACCAUUCGAAAUCAGUAC